GGUAGAUAGGAUCACAGACGAUUCUCAAUCUAGGCCUAGAUUCAACUAAAGAGCCCACUAAGAGCUAAAAGGCGCCUUGGAGAUGACUCUGACUCCAGUACACAGGACAUGUAUGAAGUCACGUGGAGCACGGAGUAGGGCAUCAGGAAGUGUGAGAUGGAGGUCUGGUGGGAGAGCUGGCGACAAUCACUAAGAUAAAGAUCCUAGGGGUAGCAGGUUGGGGUAAGAAAGGGAUGAGCUGGUUUUGAGGGAGGAGUCUUGGGCCAUCAGCGUAGGGGCAGGACCUGAGGGGAGCUGAGAGCCUGGCUGCAGCUAGAGGGAGACAGGCGGUCGGGAGGCGUCCUGCACAGCACAUGGGAGAAGCUCCUACAAGAGAGGACUCUCUGACCUUCUCAACCUUACCCUACUCUCCUGGCUGCUUCCGCCACCUAGAAGCUCCACAGAUUUCAAGCUCCAACAAGCCUACAAUAGAGGAGGGUCUCCUGUAUCCACUCCAUGGCUUUUGUGAAAGGAAAAUAAAUCUUGGGGCCCCCAAAUCACUACCCUAAAGAACUAAGCUGUGUCCCGACCACCUUGGGCACAGGUCGUGAGGACUUCCUGAGGCUGUCACGCGCGUGUCGUCAACCUUGGCAAGUAAUUGAGAUCUAUCUCGGAAUUUCUGGGUUCACACCUUUUGCUCUCAACAUUGGGAAUAGACUGCUGCCGCCCUUCCUGAGGACAGAACGAGAGGGUGAUGGGCUGGAGCCCGAUUCUAAAAAGGUCCAAGGACGAAAACUAACUUCUGAGUUCACGACGGUUCCUUUCCGCGGGAGGCUCCUUUGUUUCCGCAAACCCGGGCUGAGCUCUGAGCUGUGCCGCCUCACCGGGCGGGGCCAGAGCAUGCGCGGCUGGUUUUCAAGGCCGGCGCCUGUAGCCGCAAGGGCCAUUUUGGAAUAGGGCACGGAGAGAACGCUUCCUGGGGGUGGAGGCGGGGGCGUCGUCCUGGGUACAAUUGCUCAGGGGCAAAGGUCGAGAGGUCGCGCAGCCGCAGUUUUUUUUGAAGAAAUAGUCCAGUUCUGACUAUGGACUCGCAGCCAUCGGCCCUUAGUUUCCAUAGUUUCCAUCCCCUCUAGUGGGCCCUCGGGGGUUCUAGUGACCUCCCUCCUUCCCUUGGGACUGGGCCGAGGAGGCGUUCUCGGGCGCGGGAGGUUCCGUAUGCCCAGGCCCGGCCAGGGGAGGUGACCGAUUCGUCGCUGGGGCUGACAGUUCCCAUGGCGCCGCCUCUGGCUCGGCUCCCUUCUCGGGAUCCAAACGGGGCAGUACCCGAGUGGAGAAAGCCCGGGACCGUGAGCUUCGCCGACGUGGCCGUGUACUUCUCUCGGGAGGAGUGGGGCUGCCUGCGACCCGCGCAGAGGGCCCUGUACC
rnacentral:lncRNA from 1 species